CACGAAGCUCCCGUAUUCCCGUUUGCCCCAAUACGUAUUCAUUCCUCCUCUUUCGCCUUCCCUGCCGACAAUCGACCGUGGGGAGCAGAGGCAUCGAGUGGAUCUGCUACCGCCCCGUACCGUCGUCGCGGCCUCCAGCGGGAGGUCCGCCGGCGUGAAAGGAGGAGUGCGGCAAGCCCGAGUUCGGCUGAAGCUUCUGUCGCAGCUAUGGCGCCGCGCCCGUCCCAGAUUGCGGCUUCUCCCGUCGCAAGACCGGCUCCCCAUCUUGAUUCGUCCUCGCGCCAAAGGCCAUGUCUUGGAGUUGCCGGCAGCCAUGGUGGAGCUCGGGUCGGGAUAGUGGAGGUAGUGGUGGUGGCUGUUGUGCAGAGGCCGCGGCGAGCGACGAGGGCGGCCGCCAUCCAGCGGGUCUUCGGGGCCCCGACACCAUUCACGCAGCUGCCGACCUCGCCUGCUGCGCGCCAUGGAUGAGGCCACAGUUCAACUAAGUGAACAAACUACUCCUUAGAUCGAUGCAUGCAAAGUCAUAUGGUUGGAUUGAUCCUCAUCCAGGUGACAAUGGCGCUCCAUUACCAUGGUCAUCGACUACUGGUCUGUUUGUCAGCAGAGGAAAUGGUGCAACUAGUUCAACAAGAAGGACAAGAAUAAUGAAAAGAGGAGAUAAAGAAGAAUACGAGUCAGAUUUCUUACUUUUGGUCCUGAAGAUCCAUUGCCGUGUUCAUGGUUCUCAUGACCACUGCUUGAAGAAGCCAUAGAGGACAAUGAUUUCCUUACUUUAAACCUCGGAUCGCUUGAUAUUUGCAGACUUUGCUAUCUGCCUGAAUUUGGUUUGUGGAUGCAAUCAGGCUCCAGAUUGAAAUCUCUUCCGCCUGGUAUUUAGGAUCUUGUGUUUGUAAAGUUUUGCCUCGUGCCUCUGUUUUCUAUAUUGGCGCCAAAAUAGUUAGAUUGGCGGACA